GUCUCACUCUAUCACCCAGGCUGGAGUGAAGUGGCAUAUUCACGGCUAGCUGUAGCUUCAACCACCUGGGCUCAAGUGGUCCUCCCACCUCAGCCUCCCAAGUGUCUGGGACCACAGGCAUGCACCACCACCCGUGGCUAAUUUUUUUUAUUUGUAGAGGCAGGGUCUUCCUAUGUUGCCCAGGCUUGUCUUGAACUCCUGGGCCCAAGGGCUCCUCCCACCUCAGCCUCCCAAAUUCCUGGGAUUACAGGUGUGAGUCACUGCACCCGGCCUCACUUUGAAAAUCAGAAAGCAGGUUACCCUCCUUGAGGAUGUUCGCAAGUGUCAAAGAGAAUACUUCCAACCAAUCCACUAAGAAACAGUUAUUGUUGCGGCUGGGCCUGGCCGGACUGCGCUAGGUUAGGCUCUGGCAGGAUCGCAGGGGCGGGGGUGGCAGGGGCACGGGUGGCAGUCCCGCGGGUCGCAGGGCCGCCGCCGCCGCUCACGCAUGCUGCCGCCCCUGGCCUGCCUUCACCGCUGCGUCGCUCAGAGCCCAACCUCCCUGCUUUUGCUUGCAGAGCCGCUCCCAAGGCCCCGGCGCGGCGCGAGGGCGCGGGGCGGGGGUCCACAGGCGCCGAGGCUGCCCCCGAGGCCCCAUUCGCGGCGGCGGACCUAGCCAACAGCAACGCCGGCGCCGCCGUGGGCAGGAAGGCCGGGCAGCGCAGCCUGCACAGCACCCCGGCGCCCGCGCCUCCCACACUCGGCAACAACCACCCGGAGAGCCCCGAAUGGCGGUGCUGCCGCCCCACGCUGCGCGAGAGGAACGCGCUCACGUUCAACAACGAGCUCGGCCGGGCGCGUGCACUUUGUCACUUUGUCUUGGGGCCCCCUGGGGCGACCAGGACGGUGCCUGCCCACAGGUACGUCCUGGCUGUCGCAGCUCCGUCUUCUAUGCCAUGUUCUACGCGGACCUGGCGGAAGUCAAAUCUGAAAUUCACAUUCCGGACGUGGAGCCCGCCGCCUUUCUGAUCCUCUUAAAGUACAUGUACAGUGAUGAGAUCGAUCUGGAAGCUGACACGGUGCUGGCCAGUCUGUACGCUGCUAAGAAGUACAUCGUCCCAGCAUUGGCAAAAGCCUGCAUCAACUUUCUGGAGACAAGUCUGAAAGCCAAGAACGCCUGCGUCCUGCUGUCCCAGAGCCGGCUGUUUGAGGACCUGCUGGGAGGCCAUCGACGCACAGGCCGAGAUGGUCCGGCGGUCCGAAGGCUUUUGUGAGAUAGACCGGCAGAUGCUGGAGAUGAUUGUCACUCGGGAGGCCUUCAACACCAAGGAGGCUGUGGUCUUCGAGGCCCUCCUGAACUGGACCAAGGCAGAGUGCAAGAGGUAGGGGCUGCCAGUCACCCCACGAAACAAGAGGCAUGUUUUGGGGCGAGCCCUCUAUCUGGUCCGAAUUCCAACCAUGACCCUAGAGGAGUUUGCUAACGGCGCUGCCCAGGCAGACAUCCUGACUCUGGAGGAGACCCACGCCAUUUUCCUGCGGUACACGGCCACCAACAAGCCCCGCCUGGACUUCCCCCUGACCAAGAGGAAGGGCCUCUCCCCGCAGAGGUGCCACCGAUUCCAGUCUUCUGCCUACCGCAGCAACCAAUGGCAGUACCGCGGGCGCUGCGACAGCAUCCAGUUUUCGGUGGACAGAGGGUAUUUAUUGCGGGGUGAGCCUGUAUGGGUCCAGCUCUGGGAAGGCUGAGUACAGCCUGAAGAUUGAGCUCAAGCGGCUGGGGAUGGUUCUGGCUCAGAACCUGACCAAGUUCACGUGGGACGGAUCCAGUAACACCUUCCUGGUCUGGUUUGAACACCCGGUCCAGGUUGAACAAGACAUCUUCUACACCGCCAGUGCUGUCCUGGAUGGCAGCAACCUCAGCUACUUUGGGCAGGAGGGGAUGAUGGAAGCGCAGUGCGGAGAGGGGGCCUUCCAGUUCCAGUGCUCCGCGGACAGGACCAACGGGACUAGGGUCCAGGGUGGGCAGAUCCCUGAGCUCAUCUGUGCCUGAGGUGCCCAGGGAGUCUGCAGCAGGUCGGCCAGUGAGUGGAGCGGAAGUCAGGACGCUAACUGCUUCUUGACACCAUGAAAGGCCACACUUAACCUUGUCUCUCUUUGGCAUGUAGUCAACUGAAGCUUGAUUCUGUGAAGUAGGCACCUUUCCACACAGCCAGAGCUGGGGGAUUGGAGUCUUAGGCAUCUCUGGUACACUGGGGUGCAUGUCUCAGGUGGAGGAAGAUUUAGGGCACAACACAGGCCCCAGAUCCCCUCCCAUGGCACCCAUGCCACCUGCUUUGAGGGGUUGGAUGCUCCUGCCACGCUCUUGGAUACUAAGUGGUUCCAAGCUUCACUUUAGACCUUCCUUACACAUUUAAAAUCGACAAAAAGUCACUUAAAAUAAUGGACUUCUGUAAUAACUAAAAU